CCUACGGGAGGCAGCAGUGAGGAAUAUUGGUCAAUGGACGAGAGUCUGAACCAGCCAAGUAGCGUGAAGGAUGACUGCCCUAUGGGUUGUAAACUUCUUUUAUAUGGGAAUAAAACGUUCCACGUGUGGGAUUUUGUAUGUACCAUAUGAAUAAGGAUCGGCUAACUCCGUGCCAGCAGCCGCGGUAAUACGGAGGAUCCGAGCGUUAUCCGGAUUUAUUGGGUUUAAAGGGAGCGUAGGUGGAUUGUUAAGUCAGUUGUGAAAGUUUGCGGCUCAACCGUAAAAUUGCAGUUGAAACUGGCAGUCUUGAGUUCAGUAGAGGUGGGCGGAAUUCGUGGUGUAGCGGUGAAAUGCUUAGAUAUCACGAAGAACUCCGAUUGCGAAGGCAGUUCACUGGACUGCAACUGACACUGAGGCUCGAAAGUGUGGGUAUCAAACAGGAUUAGAUACCCGUGUAGUC
rnacentral:rRNA from 1 species